ACCGCUGCCACCACCCACGCUCGAAACACACAAGAUCUAACAGAGAUUACAAACCACCAAUACAUAGCCUUCCAAUUCAGGCACUAAGUGAAAAAUGAAAAGUAUCCAGAGAAGCAAAGGAAGGAGUUGAGUGGAAUCCUCCAGUGUUUUUUUUCUAAGGCAAAAUAAUGACACAGAUAGAACUUCUAUUCAAAGAUAUGUAAAAAGACAAUUUGGCCUUGGAUCUCUGUAAACACGCUGUGUCAAACAAAAGGACACAGGCAUUAGAAAUGAAGUUAAAAUAUAGAAUAAAUGGUAAAGUUAAAAAAAAAAACAGAAGAAGACAUUUGAAAAAGUGUCUUGGUAUUCUCAAAAGAACAAGAAGCUAUCAAUGAAGAGAGCACUGAAGAUGGAAGAUAGAAUGACAUGGAGAAAAAAUUAUGAUGGUGAUAUCUUUCUUCUUGAAGUUCCUUCAUCUAGCUCCAAGGCAUCUUGACAGUUUCACAAGACUGAAACCAACAUGGCAGUAAGGCUGUAUUCCUUUUCAAGAGGCUCUGGGAUGAAUGUGCUUCUCACUCAUUCAGUGUGUUGUCAAAAGGGCAAUCAAUGCCUAUAGCCACCUUCAUUCUAAAGAGAGUAUUGGAAUAGCACCAGGGAAGGCAGCAGUUGCCCCAGGGAGAGGACUGCACUGCUAAAACCUGGAGCUGAUAACUACUGUCUACGAAACUGGCUAGAAAGUGGGUAAUAUCCUGAGAAACCCUAUGGCCAAAUGCAACCAUGUCUAAAAAAGGGAAUAUCACAUCUACAAAGCUUUCUUAUUCUUAUAAAGAUUAUGAAAAUAUUGGAGAAUCAGUAAGUAUCACAAGAUAGGAGAAGGAAAAGAAUGGAGGAAAAUACUGGGGGAGAAUUAAUAGAUGUCAGAAGAGGGGAAUAAAAGAAAAGAAGGAGGGAAAUACAUCGCAAUAAAAGCAUCUCUCAAAAAACUGAAAAAAAAAAAAACUCAAAUACAAAAGCUAACCUUGCGCCUAAAGGAACUGGAGAAAGA